UGGCGACCGGCGCACGGGUGAGUAACGCGUAUCCAACCUGCCCUUUACUAUGGGACAGGCCCGUCGAAAGGCGGAUUAAUACCGUAUGUUGUCAUGUUGAUGCAUAUUUUCAUGACCAAAGGCUUCGGCCGGUAAAGGAUGGGGAUGCGUCUGAUUAGCUUGCCGGCGGGGUAACGGCCCACCGGGGCGACGAUCAGUAGGGGGUUCUGAGAGGAACGGUCCCCCACAUUGGAACUGAGACACGGUCCAAACUCCUACGGGAGGCAGCAG
rnacentral:rRNA from 1 species